ensembl:snRNA U2 U2 spliceosomal RNA
AUGGCUUCCUGGCCUUUUAGCUAAGAUCACGGGUAGUCUCUGUUCUUAUCAAUAAUAAUAAUGUUUCCCGGCAGGUAGAGCUAUUUGUGCUUCUUGAACCCAGUAGGCUCCCUCAUGCCUUUGGUCUUCUGAACCUGCUUUUCCUUUGCUAGUUCUGCCCUCCCCAGCUCAGUGGCAUGGAAAACAUAU